AGUAAUUCUUCAUCCAACAGCCUUUGUGUUUUGAAACUAAAAAGAGGAAGGAACAGGGCCCAAUUUUAAACUGUGCAUGUUGUCACUGAACAACACACACACACACAGACACAGACCCAGGGCAAUUCUUCCUGGAUCAUUUAUUAACGUUCGUUAUUUUCUGGACCUCAGCAGAUCCACCAAAAUUCAUAUAAAUAUAUCAGCCAUUAACCGAUUUAUUUCUUUUCCUCAGACCACGCCGGAUCUGUUACUUCAGCACAAUAAACACUGAUUUUCCUUCAAAAUCAGUUUACCAAAAGCCACAAAACCAUUUCUGACUCGAUUUUCUGAACUUCUGUGUCACUUAAACAUCCUGACAGCACCAGGUGUUUCUGUCGGACUUCCUCGUCCGAACUUAAUCCUUUUACUUGCAAAUGAGCGUCUCCCAAAAUGAUCCUCUUGAUCAUUAGCUAUUCACCGAGCCCACAACUCUCGGCAACACCACCUGACGUAUGCCCACGCCGGAGCUCCUCUUUGAAGUCUCAAAGAAGUACAGGAUUCUCCAAUCCCGUGUAUAACGAUGAAGAUGAAUGUACAGUGAACUAUGAAAACACUGGAGACUCUUCUGCUUCUGUCAGACUCCACUGAUCAAGAUCUUCAACAUCAACUGAUCACAGAAAUGAAUCCACUGAUGUUUAAAACAUUUACAUUUUGAUUUUAUCUCAUAUUUAGAAUCCAAAACCUUUUUCAUGUGCAGUUAUUUAGCUAGUUAAAAAUAACUCAAACUCUGUGUCUGAAACAGUUUGUCCAGUUAGUUACGUAAAGAAAAGACUUUCAGACUGAGAAUGUUGCAGUCAGAAGGUUGACUGAGAAGUCGAGUUGACAAAGGAAACUGCUUCAGCCAUGAAAGGGGGAGGCCAGCAUAAUCAGAAUAACAGCUUCUUCUUUGGUGUUUACAUUUAUUUUUUAUAUAUUUGAUUGUUACACUUUAUCUUUAUUUGUGACACAGUAACCAACGUUAUAUUCAAUGUUAUAACUUUUAUGUUAUCUAUAACUUUUGUCACAACCUGGCUCAAAGGAUGUGGCAAGUAGGUGGGAGACCACACAGGCUUUUAAAGGCUGUAAGAUAUUUUAAUUAAAUAAAGUAAAGAAACUCAAACACAGAUUAAAUGGUACAACAUCCAUAACCAAACCUAACCAAGGGAGCAUAAUGAGCCACAGACGGAGGAGGCCAGAGGUUCAGUCAAAGUGACUUUAUAAUGCGCAUGGAUGGCCCUCUCAGGUUUGCUGCAUCUAUAAUUGGGUCAGCUCCACCUACCAGAUACCUGAAAGGCAACAAGACAACAAGGCCAGCCCACUGGGUGUCACACACUUUUUUUGGCUGCAUGACAUAAAGAUUGAUUAUAUUGUUUGUUUUCUUGCUCUGUUUCUCUCUGAAUCCUCACACACCUGAACCGUAAUAGACUAGAAGCUACUCUUAAUUAUUCUCUUCAGUUUGACUUGCUGUACUUUCAUCUUCAGUAUUAAACCUUUACUCUUAAGCAGCUCCGUUU
ensembl:lncRNA